CAGCAGCCGCGGGAAACCGAAGGGUGCAAGCGUUACUCGGAAUUACUGGGCGUAAAGCGUGCGUAGGUGGUUCGUUAAGUCUGAUGUGAAAGCCCUGGGCUCAACCUGGGAAUUGCAUUGGAUACUGGCGAGCUAGAGUGCGGUAGAGGGUAGUGGAAUUCCCGGUGUAGCAGUGAAAUGCGUAGAGAUGUGGAGGAAUACCGAUGGCGAAGGCAGCCCCCUGGGCCAAUACUGACGCUCAUGCACGAAAGCGUGGGGAGCAAACAGGAUUAGAUACCCGCGUAGUCCCUGUCUCUUAUAA
rnacentral:rRNA from 1 species